AUGACGAUCAUGGCAUGGAACAUUCGAGGCCUCGGGCAACCUCGCAUAGUUCAGGAGCUAGUGUGCUUAGUGCACACCUAUAAGCCCAAGCUCGUCUUCCUCUCGGAAACUCGGCAAAAUAAUAAGUAUGUUAGGAACCUGAAAUGGAGGCUAGGCCUUCGCCAUUGUAUCACACAACCCGGUAUUGGAAAAGGUGCCGGCAUUGCCCAAUUCUAUGAUGAGAGUGUUGAAAUAAAAAACCAGCGCCGUAGAAAUCAGCGCCGUCAGGGGCUGUCGGGCCGCAUGCGCGCUGCCGCCUCACCCGGUGGCGGCCGGGCCCGCGCCUCGCUUCCCGUGAAGAUGCUGCUGUCGGCCUGGGCGCGGCAUGGGCAACAGAGGCCGCCUCAGCCAGUGGCGGCGUGGCCCACCUGGCCUCACCCGUUACGUUGCACUGUGCCGAAUCUGUUAUACCGCGCGCGGCCGCCUCCUGUCGUGGCGGCCGGGCCCGCCGCCUCCUGGUGUGGCGGCAGGUGA
rnacentral:rRNA from 1 species